rnacentral:rRNA from 1 species
GACGAACGCUGGCGGCAUGCCUAAUACAUGCAAGUCGAGCGGACAGAAGGGAGCUUGCUCCCGAAAGUCAGCGGCGGACGGGUGAGUAACACGUGGGCAACCUGCCCCUUAGAUUGGGAUAACUUCGGGAAACCGAAGCUAAUACCGAAUAAUACAAGGAACCUCCUGGUUCUCUGUUGAAAGAUGGCCUUUGUGCUGUCACUAAGGGAUGGGCCCGCGGCGCAUUAGCUAGUUGGUAAGGUAACGGCUUACCAAGGCGACGAUGCGUAGCCGACCUGGGAGGGUGAUCGGCCACACUGGGACGGAGACACGGCCCAGACUCCUACGGGAGGCAGCAGUAGGGAAUCUUCCGCAAUGGACGAAAGUCUGACGGAGCAAUGCCGCGUGAGUGAGGAAGGCCUUCGGGUCGUAAAGCUCUGUUGUGAGGGAAGAACAAGCACCGGCGUAACUACCGGUACCGUGACGGUACCUCACCAGAAAGCCACGGCUAACUACGUGCCAGCCGCCGCAGUAA